CCUUCUGGCAAGUAGUUUGGAUUUCAUGUUAGCUCGCUACAUUUUGAAAACCGUAAAACAGGGUGGCACUAGUGCUGCCUUCAUUGCUUUGGUUUCAGUUAUUCAGUUAAUUUUGUGAUGCCAGUGUUUGUCUUGGACACUUAGUUGCUUCAAAGACACGAUUAACUAAAAGACGCAUUUGAUAUUUUACCGACUGUAAUUAGAACAUAUAUUCUAUGCGACAUCGCGAUUGUUAGGGUCUGUAGCAGCCGAUAUUAUAACUACAGUCAAUGUAAUUGCUGCCAAUAGCGUAAUAAUUUUUCCUAUUUUGUGUAAUAAAAAUCGAUAAGGUGAUGCGUUGAUUCAGAAAUGUUAGUACGGUAUGGGUAAAUUAUUUAACCGCUUUUACUACAUUGACAACAGAGAAUGAUUAUGUUACUGGCAGUUAUUACAUUAACAGUAUUACAUUAUUGAAUGCUACAGGGUCUUGUAGGUCUAAUGCACGAACUACAGAGCAUUAACAUUAGAUAUGCCGGUAUCACAUCUGAUUAGGCGAAAGAUAAGUUUUAUUGCCCCUUCUCAUUUCAUAGCUAGUUAACGUUUACAGGAUAACUAUUACUGCAAGUUCCGAUGUAAGCUACCAUUCACACACACAAGUGGAAGUAUUAAAAUGCUAGGGCAGAGCAGACGCAGCCAUUGCAGCCUUAGCUCCUGUCUGCUACUGGACGCGCGUCGCACUGAGCCAUUAAAGCGCCGGUAGGACUGAUGGCUCCGGAUACUUGUUGGUUGUUAGAAAAUAACUCAGUUACGGUAAAUAAAGUAAAGAAUUGUGAGGGGGGGAAGUCAGGAUUUAGACUUAAUUCUGAGAUAAAUGUGUUUUCUCCUCCAGAUGGCGGAAACGGGCUUCCAUACCAUGCAGACAGACACCCUAUUUAAAGUUACCUACGCGUCCUCUGCAGGCAGUGUCCAUGUAUACGGGCAAAAGCGUUUGCACUAGCGUAUAACAAAAAUCACUAUUGCUUCAAUGCAACUGAUGACCGCAAGAAUCACAAUUUGGGUGGAAAUACUGUAAAAAUUUCAGAUAAAAAAAAUCUUAAAAACUACUGUCUGAACUGACUACCGAUCGCCAUUUAGUACCAAAAGAACCUGGUUCGAUUCCACGAUAAAAAAAAAAAUGUUGCCAGCCAUUGCACAUUCAAAAGAAUACUGCUAAUAUUGGUGUAUUUACCCACGAAGCAUUUUAUAGCCACCCCGUUUACUUCUGGGCACAUUUCUAACCGCGAUUAUCUUAAUAUACAAAGAUAACAGGCGAAGGUUUACCCACGUCUCAGCACGCAUUAUACGCUGCCCCCAAAAUUCGCAGUCAGGGAAAACGGCUUCAAUCUACGUUAAUGAAGCAGCUUCUACCCGUCGCCGCUUCCAGUUUCAACUCCGGCUAGCUAAAAACUCCGUUUCCCCCCUCCACCGGUGGGAGAGAGAGCCGGGGGUGAGCUGGGAGUCGGUCUGAGACGGCGCGUCGCCUCGCCUCGCCUUGCCGUCCAAUCGGCGGCGCGGCGCAGACUCCCGGCAUGCCCGGCCCGGCAGGGCGGGGGCGGCUCCGGCUGCUCUGGCCGAUUUGAAUGUGGAGACCAGGUUUCGGCGCCAUUUUCGAGUGGGGAGCGAUUAUAGCGGCGGCGGGCAGGGAGAGCUGUCGGGGUGGCCGAGCCGACGCUCUUCGCCUUUCAUAACUCUUGUUAUUUUUUAAGUAUUAAAAACUUCUAGAAAUGAAAUGAAAUGCGGACGGUAAGGGGGGAGUGUAGAGGGAGCCGCAUGAGGGGAGGAUACGGACUAACGGAGAAUAAGGCGUACGAGACGGGGGACGUUAACCGAAGAAAGGCAAAUGCGGAUUCCGGGGUUAACAAAUACCCGGAAAAUCUUAAAAAAUAACAUCCGAAAAAAUAUGUAAAAAUGUUUAAAAAUUUUCUCAAGCACAUGUCGUUGGAUUUGAGGUGUUUACGCUUGAACCGAAGCCGUUUUUGGUGCUUUUUUACGUUAAGUUUGAGCGGGAGUGGCGACGGGCUGUCAUCGCCGCGAGCUAGUUAACCAGCUAAUCUUAACUAGGGAACACUGGUUACACUCGCGGCAUUUCCACUUUUAUUUUAUAAUUACUAUUUUAUGAUUUUUUUUAGAAAGACUACCAUGCAGCUAGAUUCGAAUGGCUAUUUGCAUAAUAUUUUUUCAGGUUUUUUUUUUCUUUCACCCUCAUUUUCUGGUGAAGAGACGCUUGUUUUGAAGCCGUAUCUUUCGGAGCCUUUGUGGUCUUGCUGCUGCCAGAGGUGGACUUCAACACUGGGAAUCUGCUUAAGUGAGGUCUGGUAGUGCUGUAGCAGCACAGAAUGGUUUGUGGGAGUUCCUGGGACGCAGACCGUCCUGUGCUGCCUCAGUAAUGCCUGGACAGACAUUGCAAAAAGGCAAAACACAUGUAAAGCAGUGUGGGAGAACUAGAAAAGCAGACUGAGCACAGGUCUUCAUCCUGCGUCUGGCCGCCAUGCUGUAGCAGCACGUAAAUAUUGGAGUUCAAACCCUGCUGAUGCCUCCAGUAUUGCUCGUGCUGCUGGAGUAAAAGCUAGCCACUGCCAUCUGUUGGCCAUUCCUCAUCAAGUGAAUUCAAAAAGGGCAGUCAUGCAGUCCUUACACACCAAUUACUAAAAGAGAAGUCUUGAGUUCAUUGUCUAAUGGUAAUUGUGUGGUAAAUAGCAGUUUGUGUCUUUUAGAACAGAGGUAAUUGUCUUUUGGGUGCCCAUUACUUGGCUGCCCAGUGAACGAAGUGAAACUCUCACAAGGCAGAAACAAACCUUUUUAAUGUGAAUGUCAUUGUAUUUUUACUUUCAAAUAAAUCCCCACUUUAUAAUUCAAA